UGUGUACUCCCUCCAUUCCAAAAUACUUGACUUCCAUUUGUCCAAAAAUGUAUGUACCUAUAUACUAAAACAUGUCUAGAUACAUAUAUAUUUUUACAAAUAGAAGGCAUGUAUUGUGCAACGGAGGGAGUAGAAU
rnacentral:pre_miRNA from 1 species